AAACCAACAGGGAUUGCCUUAGUAGCGGCGAGUGAAGCGGCAAAAGCUCAAAUUUGAAAUCUGGCACCUUCGGUGUCCGAGUUGUAAUUUGAAGAUUGUAACCUUGGGGUUGGCUCUUGUCUAUGUUUCUUGGAACAGGACGUCACAGAGGGUGAGAAUCCCGUGCGAUGAGAUGCCCAAUCCUAUGUAAGGUGCUUUCGAAGAGUCCAGUUGUUUGGGAAUGCAGCUCUAAGUGGGUGGUAAAUUCCAUCUAAAGCUAAAUAUUGGCGAGAGACCGAUAGCGAACAAGUACAGUGAUGGAAAGAUGAAAAGAACUUUGAAAAGAGAGUGAAAAAGUACGUGAAAUUGUUGAAAGGGAAGGGUUUGAGAUCAGACUCGAUAUUUUGUGAGCCUUGCCUUCGUGGCGGGGUGACCCGCAGCUUAUCGGGCCAGCAUCGGUUUGGGCGGUAGGAUAAUGGCGUAGGAAUGUGACUUUGCUUCGGUGAAGUGUUAUAGCCUGCGUUGAUGCUGCCUGCCUAGACCGAGGACUGCGAUUUUAUCAAGGAUGCUGGCAUAAUGAUCCCAAACCGC
rnacentral:rRNA from 1 species